ensembl:lncRNA
AGGUAGGGGUCAGGGUUUAAAGGUAGGGGUCAGGGUUUAAAGGUAGGGGUCAGGGUUUAAAGGUAGGGGUCAGGGUUUAAAGGUAGGGGCAGGGUUUAAAGGUAGGGGUCCGGGUUUAAAGGUAGGGGUCAGGGUUUAAAAGUAGGGUUUAGGUAGGGGUCAGUGUUUAAAGGUAGGGGUCAGGGUUUAAAGGUAGGGGUCAGGGUUUAAAGGUAGGGGUCAGGGUUUAAAGGUAGGGGGCAGGGUUUAAAGGUAGGGGUCAGGGUUUAAAGGUAGGGGUCAGGGUUUAAAGGUAGGGGUCCGGGUUUAAAGGUAGGGGUCCGGGUUUAAAGGUAGGGGUCAGGG